rnacentral:misc_RNA from 1 species
UAACAUCAAAAUCUCCCUUUUCCGCUUCUCCAUCACCAAAAAUAUCAACCUCUUCCUUUUCUCUAUCACCAUGAAGAAAUGCUGAGUCAUCAAGAAGGUCAGUCUCCUCCUUAACAUCAAAAUCUCUCGUCUCUCCUUUUUGAUUCAGCAAUACCCUAUCACUGCCAUUGCUCCAAGAAUUCUUGGGUAAUGAUUUUGGCCUUUCUAUUUGCUCUUCUAACAAUUUAUCCAAUUUUUUCCAUCUUUGAUACGGCAACUCCUCUAAGCGUAUUGUUACUCUUCUUUCAAAAAUUUCUAGCAUUCCCUUGAGAUCCCUUUGUUCCCAAAAUUGUACGUCCA